rnacentral:rRNA from 1 species
GAUGAACGCUGGCGGCGUGCUUAACACAUGCAAGUCGAACGGAAAGGCCCAAGCUUGCUUGGGUACUCGAGUGGCGAACGGGUGAGUAACACGUGGGUGAUCUGCCCUGCACUUCGGGAUAAGCCUGGGAAACUGGGUCUAAUACCGGAUAGGACGAUGGUUUGGAUGCCAUUGUGGAAAGUUUUUUCGGUGUGGGAUGAGCUCGCGGCCUAUCAGCUUGUUGGUGGGGUAAUGGCCUACCAAGGCGUCGACGGGUAGCCGGCCUGAGAGGGUGUACGGCCACAUUGGGACUGAGAGACGGCGCAGACUCCUACGGGAGGCAGCAGUGGGGAAUAUUGCACAAUGGGCGCAAGCCUGAUGCAGCGACGCCGCGUGGGGGAUGACGGCCUUCGGGUUGUAAACUCCUUUCGCUAGGGACGAAGCGUUUUUGUGACGGUACCUGGAGAAGAAGCACCGGCUAACUACGUG